rnacentral:rRNA from 1 species
AGAUAGAAACCGMCCUGGCUCMCMCCGGUUUAAACUCAGAUCAUGUAAAAUUUUACAGGUCGAACAGACCCAAUCAUUCAGCUUCUACACCAAACUUUUAUUUUAAUCCAACAUCGAGGUCGCAACCCUUUUCUUCGAUAAGAACUCUAGAAAAGAUUACGCUGUUAUCCCUAAGGUAAUUUUAUCUUAUCAUCCAAAUCUAGGCUCUUGUAUUCAUUAAUCAAUGCUAUAUAUAUAAAAAAAAGUUAGUUUAAUUUUUCUGUCACCCCAACAAAAUAACUUUACAACUAGUCCUAAAAAAAUUCUUAUAAACUUCUAGCUAUAAAACUAUAAAACUCUAUAGGGUCUUCUCGUCUUCUACUAUCAUUUAAGCUUUCUCACUUAAAAAUAAAAUUCAAUUAAAUUUUCAUAGAGACAGUAUUCUUUUCAUCAAACCUUUCAUUCCAGCUCUCAAUUAAAAAACUAAUGAUUAUGCUACCUUUGUACGGUCAAUUUACCGCAGCCAUUUAAUUAAUCAUUGGGCAGGUCAGACCUGAAAUUAUAAUCAACAAGCCAUGUUUUUAAUAACAGG